GACAACUAAGGCAGAAGAAAAGACACUUUGACUGUGGGACUCUGGCAUUCCAGGCUGAAAAAACUGAGUGCUCAGGGCUAUUAAGAAAAAGUGGGGGAAAUGGAGAAACAUUUGAUUGUUGCAUUAAUGAUUCUCUCUCUUCAUCUGAGCUGGGUGAACAGCAAAGAUUCCGUGGAGCAGAGCCCACGAACCCUGACUAUUCAAGAGGGAGCCAAUGCUACCUUCUAUUGUAAUUAUUCAAGCAGAAGUUCACAUUACCUAGAUUGGUUGAAGCAGGAUCUAAGGAAAAGCCUGGUGUAUUUAUUUACUUUGACUUCAAAUGGGGAAGUGAAGAAGAAUGGAAGAUUAGCAGUCACUCUCAACAUUGAAGACCAGCAAAGCUCCCUACAUAUCACAGCCUCCCAACCAGAAGACUCAGCCACCUACAUAUGUGCUAAACACAGUGCUCCCCAGGCAUCUGAAACCUGUGCAUAAUCCCUGCACCUGGGGCUCCUGCCUCACUCCCUACCAUGGGGACUCCAACAAUGAAGUUUACUUCAUAUGCUGGGGGGCUAGUGCCUGGAGAAGAUGUGUGGUUCCUAUCAAGGGUAACUUGU